ACAGUAUACAACAACAAAUAGAUGAAUGUGAACAGCAGCAGGAAGUUUAGAGAGGAGGAAGUUCCUGUGUGUGUUUCUGACUGAUCUGCAGUGACUUACAGCUCAGAGCACUGAGAGACUCAACAGAGAACUGAACUGAUCUGAUUGAACAUGGACAGAUGUGUCAUACUGAUUCUCACUGUAGGAACAGGUUUGGUGACAGGAGACAUUUAUCCAGAUAAAGAGACAGAAAAAAACUCUAGAGAAACAGAAACUGUCAGGUUGAGCUGCUCAUAUAGUGCAAACAGUGAAUAUGUUUGGCUUUACUGGUACAGACAGUUUCCCAACAGAGAACCACAGUAUUUAUUACUCCGAGGUGCCCGAUCUAAUUCUGGUGAAGACACCUCUGAUGAUCGGUUUCAUUCGGCUACAUCACGUACAUCCACUGAACUCACUAUUACUGAUGUACGUCUGUCAGAUUCAGCUCACUAUUAUUGUGCUCUAAGAGUAGGAGCCCAGUGAUACAAAACAUGAAACAUGUCGUACAAAAACCUGAAGCUCUUUUCACUUUGAAAAUAUCUAGUGAAAACCACAAUCAAAACCACAAUCUAUCCUAAAAUAUGUGGUCACACCUGUGUAAAACCGAAUAAGGCCUUUGUUAUAAAGC